rnacentral:lncRNA from 1 species
AUGUGCCCAUGGAGACUCAGCACUGGGCAGGGAGCUUCUGUGCCUUUCUCCCCAUCACCUUCCUGUCUCCUGCUCCUUGCAGAAGGCAGCUUUAAGUUUUCAGUUCACAGGAGGAUGAGCAGCAAGAUGACACCAGGAGACCCAUCGGUUCACACACAGGCUAUCACUCACCUUUCUGCUUCCUCUACUGGGGGCCCAUCUCACCAACAUCUCCCCGUGUCAGGACACCCACGGAGUCCCGUUCUCUGUUACCUAUGGAGACACCGGGUACGUUUUUGGACAGCAAUUCCCUCCGGAGUCCUACUCGGGAUUGUCGCCAUACGUCGCCAAGGGCAGCGUCUGAUUUUUUUCCCAUGGCUGACAUUACACCUUCCUUCCUCACUUAACAUUACUUUUUCUUUGUAAAGGAGGAAGGGUGAGCUCUGCUCUAACUGUGCGGAGAGAAGGAAGAGAUGGCGACCACCUGCCACCGUGGAGGGGGUAACAGACGUUCUGAUUGUGCUUCUAGGUCACCUGCAAGGCCCUCCCAACCCCGUCCUCAGGAAUUGUGUCUGCAGCUCAUCCUAGUAGAGAUGGCAGCUCAAUUGUUUUCAUCCUUUUAAACAUCAACUCUGAGGCAAAGCCUUCCUUAGACUUUCUUUUUUUUUUUUUUUCUGAGAUAACUGAUAUUUUUCUUUCAUAAUUAUCUCUGUAUUACUCGGAACUGGUAUUUUUGUAAAAUUGUAAUUCCUGUUUCUUUUCAGAAAUUUCAAUGAACUCUUGAGAUUCCUUUCUCUUAUUGAUCAGGACCGGGC